AGAGAGAAACAGCUAGAAUGAAACUAACAGUUACUCUUGUGUUCCUUGUGGCUUUUGCCCUGAUUGUCGGAGUUCAGUCUGCUUCUCAAGAUGGACAUGACCAUCAUGAACACCAUCAACAUGAAGGUAAGACAUUUAUCUCUGGUUCCCAGCAACCAGUUGAAUAGACCCCUAGUA